UCACAGUACGUGAACUGUUCAGGGGUAAACGGGAGAGACCCGAAAGUUCGAAGGGGAGACUCAUUCACAUCCGUUACAUCGGCCCACGGAGCGUUCUGGAUGUCGCCGGCCGCCGGUCACGCCGCAAGGCGUGCGCCGUGUUCGUGUCGGAGGCACCGAUCGCCCGGCGGGGUUAAUUUCCGCUGGCGGAUUGACGCACUUCUCCUCUGUAUGACGUCGCGACCCGUUGGAGUAGCCGGUCUAAGGCCCGGGAAGGAGCCCGAGGGGAUCGCCGCGGAAGCGCGGACUAACGGUUCCCCGGACCCCGGCAGCCCGGCCGGCGUCCGACGGUAGGUUUCGCGGAGAAGGCCCGCUCACACGAGCGAGCGUCCGGCCCGUGGGGCAAGCUCUUCGGUGGUGCCGAGGUGCCGUGGCAUCCGCCACGUCCCCGGCCCCCGCGAGGCUGUUGGCCCCCGGAGUCCUCGGACGGUAGCCGACUCCCGUCCGCGGCGCUUAUGCUUUGGGUGCUCUCCCGACCCGUCUUGAAACACGACAAGAGGGAGAACA
rnacentral:rRNA from 1 species